rnacentral:lncRNA from 1 species
GGUUAACUGCCUUGUUCAUGGGCAGAACGACUGAUUUUUACCUUGUCAGCUCGGGGAUUCGAGCUGACUAACCCGUUUUAAAAACUAAAACUAUACUGAAACUAUUAUCUUUGACUCCAAAAUAAAAUAAAACCAUCAUUAACUAUGUUCAGUUGGAGUUUUUUUCUCAAAACUUUGGGCAAAUAUCUAAUUUUUAUUUAUUUCACAAGGUAGGUAAGUUGAGAACAAGUUCUCAUUUACAAUUGCGACCUGGCCAAGAUAAAGCAAAGCAAUUCGACACAUACAACAACACAGAGUUACACAUGGAGUAAAACAAACAUACAGUCAAUAAUACACUAGAAAAAUAAGUCUAUAUACAAUGUGAGCAAAUGAGGUGAGAUAAGGGAGGUAAAGGCAAAAAAGUCAAUGGUGGCAAAGUAAAUACAAUAUAGCAAGUAAAACACUGGAAUGGUAGAUUUGCAGUGGAAGAAAGUGCAAAGUAGAAAUAGAAAUAAUGGGGUGCAAAGGAGCAGAAUAAAUGAAUAAAUAAAUACAGUAGGGGAAGAGGUAGUUGUUUGGGCUAAAUUAUAGAUGGGCUAUGUACAGGUGCAGUGAUCUGUGAGCUGCUCUGACAGCUGGUGCUUAAAGCUAGUGAGGGAGAUAAGUGUUUCCAGUUUCAGAGAUUUUUGUAGUUCUUUCCAGUCAUUGGCAGCAGAGAACUGGAAGGGGAGACGGCCAAAGGAGGAAUUGGCUUUGGGGGUGACCAGAGAGAUAUACCUUCUGGAGCGCGUGCUACAGGUCGGUGCUGCUAUGGUGACCAGUGAGUGGUGAUAAGGGGGGACUUUACCUAGCAGGGUCUUGUAGAUGACCUGGAGCCAGUGGGUUUGGCGACGAGUAUGAAGCGAGGGCCAGCCAACGAAAGCGUACAGGUCGCAGUGGUGGGUAGUAUAUGGGGCUUUGGUGACAAAACUAAUAGGGUUUUCAAUGGGGUUUUCAAGCUUUUAAGGUGUUUUCAAGCUACUGAAUCAGGAGAGGCCGACGUUUAAAAUAGACCUAGCUUGUGCAUCACAAUCACUAGGGACGGACUUUGAUUUGGAGGCCACAGGCAGAUGCCAGUCUGAGCCCACCCUUCCCCUUGAACGAAGCAGAAUAAAAAGGCUAACUGAAAACCUUUGAAAUACCCUUCAUUAGUAAAGGUCUUUGCAUCACCACCUACAGGGGUGGGCAAUCAUUUUGGCUCGAGGGGCACAUCUGGAUUAUACAAUUCAACAGACUUUUUUGGGACCGGUUUGUGUGUCAAAAGCAAUUUGCGGCCCAGAAACUGGGCAGUUGUUUGAAAAUAGGUAUCAUUAUAGUUUCUACAUACAGUGGUUCCUCCUUUAAAAGUUACGUCAUACUGAAGCACACCUUGUGUGCUGCCUCAGCAUUCUGUGGCCCGUCAUUUAAUUCUCAGCCAUUUCUUCUGUUACUGCAAGUUAUUGCUAGUUUGACCACCAGAGAGCAUCUUUGAGAAGCAUUUGAUAGUACUUCCGUAUUGGCAUUACCAGAGAAUUUAAAACCCUUUUUGUAAUAACAUAGUAUAUGGGAUUGAUUUUAAGAAAUGUGUCUUAAUUAAUUUGAUUAAUAUUAUGGUGUUUCUAUUCAGAGAAAAAAUAUGCACAAUCGUUUGUCUCUACAUUAACUAACAUAUUCCUCUCAAUUGCACAUUUUUUGCUUGACUCGUUAUGACGUUAUAACUACUUACAUUUGCCUCCCGUAAUGUUUUGUCAGCCAUCUUUGCUGAAGAAAGUCACCAGGGAGGGGUGGCUCGUGUCAAAUUCAUCAUUGGAACCACUCGAUAUGAUUGGUCAUAUAAAAACCUUGGGACCCAAAUGCAUACUGAGUGCUCUAACUCUCCCUUGUGGUGGUCUGGAGCAAUGAAGCCGUGACGCUGGGUACCUCUAAGUCCCGCGGUGUAAGCUCACAACUUUUCAAGGAGGAACCACUAUACUUUUUGUCUGGUUUUAGUUACUCUGCCUUCAGAAAGUAUUCACACCCCUUAACUUUUUCCACAUUUUGUUGUGUUACAGCCUGAAUUUAAAAUCACUUAAGGAUAGGACCCUUUUUUUCAAUUUUCACCUAAAAUGACAUACCCAAAUCUAACUGCCUGUAGCUCAGGUCCUGAAGCAAGGAUAUGCAUAUUCUUGACACCAUUUGAAAGGAAAAUCUUUGUGGAAGUUUGUGGGAAUGUCAAAUUAAUGUAGGAGAAUAUAACACAUUAGAUCUGAUAAAAGAUAAUACAAACAAA